AUGUGAUCGUCUCUCGCAUAUCAAUAAGCGGAGGAAAAGAAACUAACAAGGAUUCCCCUAGUAACGGCGAGUGAAGCGGGAAGAGCUCAAAUUUGAAAUCUUAAAGGGUUUCCCUUUACGAAUUGUAGUUUAAAGAAGUGUUUUCUGUUGAGGUUUUGGUAAAAGUUCUUUGGAAUAGGACAUCAUAGAGGGUGAGAAUCCCGUAUUUGACCUUUACUUUCAACUUUGUGAUACACUUUCAAAGAGUCGGAUUGUUUGGGAAUGCAGUCCAAAAUGGGUGGUAAAUUUCAUCUAAAGCUAAAUAUUGGCGAGAGACCGAUAGCGAACAAGUACCGUGAGGGAAAGAUGAAAAGAACUUUGAAAAGAGAGUUAAACAGUACGUGAAAUUGUCAAAAGGGAAGCGUUUGACACCAGUGUUGUUUUUCUGAAAAUCAAUUAAAGAACUGUUUAUGCUAAGUUGUUUAGACUUUAUCAGCUAACUGUUUAGUUUUGAGCUUUUCUUUAAUGCACUUUUCAGUUAACAAGUCAACAUCAAUUUCUUUUGCUGUAAAAAAGCUUGAGGAAGGUGGCUUGAGAUUCGUCUUAAGUGUUUAUAGCCUCUUGCCUAUGCAGUCGGAGAGAUUGAGGUCUGCAGCGUAGAUCCUUCGGGGCUAAAUGCAUUUGUGCUAAGUUAUAGCAUUUUAUAGACAACUUGUUGACUAUGAUUUGCCUUGUAGCUUACUCGCUUAUGUUAUUUUACCUACGCUUAGGAUGUUGAGUAGCGACAUACGCAC
rnacentral:rRNA from 1 species